UUCCCUUCAGGGUUUGGAGGCUGCUCUGAGUUCUCUGUCAGGUAGUCUCUCUCUAGGUUUUGUCCAGGGUUUUGUUCCAAGGAAACCUCAGAGUGUUUUGCUUCUCUUCCUUUUUCUCUCUGUUUUGUUUCAAUGAAACUCUAGUAUUUAUAGGCUAAUAUUGGUAGCUUAGUGGGCUUUUGAGAGAGGUCCAAGUUUAAGAUUUUU
rnacentral:lncRNA from 1 species